UACGUAGGGGGCAAGCGUUGUCCGGAUUUACUGGGCGUAAAGAGCGUGUAGGCGGCCACGCAGGUCCGUUGUGAAAACUGGAGGCUCAACCUCCAGCUGUCGACGGAAACCGUAUGGCUAGAGUCCGGAAGAGGAGAGUGGAAUUCCUGGUGUAGCGGUGAAAUGCGCAGAUAUCAGGAAGAACACCCGUGGCGAAGGCGGCUCUCUGGGACGGUACUGACGCUGAGACGCGAAAGCGUGGGGAGCGAACCGG
rnacentral:rRNA from 1 species